AGCAAGAAGAAAAAGACAGAAGGAAGAGAGCGGAAAUGAAGAAGGCUUCUCUCAGAGCUGCCACUGCACAUGCAGAGUCCUCCGCAGUGAACAGCCUUGUGGAGAUGAUGCAGAAGCUGCAGCUGAAAGACUGAGAGGAGCAGCAGCAGAAGGCAGCGGCUGCUGUACCCCUUUCUUUCCCCCUUCCUUCCCCAUGCCUUCCCCCUGCAACGGCCUGCUGUUCUGCUGCUACUGUUACCUGACAGUCAUUAAAAAACACUUUUCCAACACAUUGGAUCAGACCGCAUACUCUCCCUGAUUAUAAAAGCAGUAAAACAAGGAAUGUAGCAUUAUGUAUCGAUAAACUCCCGCCUGCUUCAAGACCAAUAGCAGCUUCUCAUCCUGGAUUAACUCCUGAGCACAGCCUGGACUCCGUGCAUGGAUUUGGAGUCAGCAGUGGCUCUGCAAUAUUGGGUCUGAGUCUUCAGCUUCCACUUCAAGUUCUAGUGUAAUUUAGGACACAAAAAUGUGUGACCACUCCUUUCAAAACAAAAUAUAUAAGAAGAAAAUACACUU